rnacentral:misc_RNA from 1 species
GAAAUGCGAUAAGUAAUGUGAAUUGCAGAUUUCAGUGAAUCAUCGAAUCUUUGAACGCACCUUGCACCUUCUGGUAUUCCGGAAGGUACAUCUGUUUGAGUGUCAUUAAAUUCUCAACCAUUCAGGGUUUUAUGAGCCUUGUUUGGCUUGGAAUGUGAGGGACCUGCUGGCUGCUUUAUUGCGAUCCGCUCCCUUGAAAUGUAUUAGCUGGGAACUAGUACUUUGUCUUAAUUGUUGCAAUGCCUGAAGACCUCCUAGUGUGAUAAUUAUCGACGCUGUUGGUUUAGUUGCUGACAUACUAUGAGCAAAGUAGUUGUAUACCUGCUUCUAAUCGUCUCGCAAGGGACUAGUCUGCUUCAGGACUAUAUGACCAUUGUGACCUCAAAUCAGAUGGGACUAC